rnacentral:rRNA from 1 species
UACGUAGGUGGCAAGCGUUAUCCGGAUUUACUGGGUGUAAAGGGCGUGUAGGCGGGAGUGCAAGUCAGAUGUGAAAACCACGGGCUCAACCUGUGGCCUGCAUUUGAAACUGUACUUCUUGAGUACUGGAGAGGCAGACGGAAUUCCUAGUGUAGCGGUGAAAUGCGUAGAUAUAUGGAGGAACACCGGUGGCGAAAGCGGCUCUCUGGCCUGUAACUGACACUGAGGCUCGAAAGCGUGGGGAGCAAACAGG